GACGAACGCUGGCGGCGUGCUUAACACAUGCAAGUCGAGCGGUAAGGCCCUUUCGGGGGUACACGAGCGGCGAACGGGUGAGUAACACGUGGGUGACCUGCCCUCAGCUCUGGGAUAAGCCUGGGAAACUGGGUCUAAUACUGGAUAUGACUCCACGGUGCAUGUCGUGGGGUGGAAAGCCUUGUGCGGCUGAGGAUGGGCCCGCGGCCUAUCAGCUUGUUGGUGGGGUGANGGCCUACCAGGGGCGACGACGGGUAGCCGGCCUGAGAGGGCGACCGGCCACACUGGGACUGAGACACGGCCCAGACUCCUACGGGAGGCAGCAGUGGGGAAUCUUGCGCAAUGGGACGAAAGCCUGACGCAGCGACGCCGCGUGAGGGAUGACGGCC
rnacentral:rRNA from 1 species